AGUGAACACUGGCGGUAGGCCUAACACAUGCAAGUCGAACGGCAGCACAGUAAGAGCUUGCUCUUACGGGUGGCGAGUGGCGGACGGGUGAGGAAUACAUCGGAAUCUACUUUUUCGUGGGGGAUAACGUAGGGAAACUUACGCUAAUACCGCAUACGACCUACGGGUGAAAGCAGGGGAUCUUCGGACCUUGCGCGAUUGAAUGAGCCGAUGUCGGAUUAGCUAGUUGGCGGGGUAAAGGCCCACCAAGGCGACGAUCCGUAGCUGGUCUGAGAGGAUGAUCAGCCACACUGGAACUGGGACACGGUCCAGACUCCUACGGGAGGCAGCAGUGGGGAAUAUUGGACAAUGGGCGCAAGCCUGAUCCAGCCAUACCGCGUGGGUGAAGAAGGCCUUCGGGUUGUAAAGCCCUUUUGUUGGGAAAGAAAAGCAGCAGGUUAAUACCCCGCUGUUCUGACGGUACCCAAAGAAUAAGCACCGGCUAACUUCGUG
rnacentral:rRNA from 1 species